CGUCACAGACCCCCGCCCCUCCCGCGGCUGCCUCGCCCCUCGCGCGGGUCAGGACUCGGCUUUCAUUCAUCGGUGGCUUCCCGGUGCUCUCCAGUCCUACGGGACGCACCCGUGCCGUCUGUGACUGGACGCGGUCCGGGUGAACAGACUUUACAGAAAGCCACGGUUAGUAAAGCUCUGGUUUCUCCGCGGCUGACAGCUUUCAUUUGCCCGCUGAAGUUAGUUACCUCCGGAUUGGUCGCAGUUUUUGCAACUCCUCUCUGCCUGCAACUUGACAUGGCAAUCCCAGGGCCUACGCUCAGUAGAGUUGAGACUGUGUGCCUUGAAUGAGACCCGAAGACCCAUCAGACACUUCACCCCUCUACUUCCUUGCCAGUGGAAUGGGAACAAACGAGCCCCUCUCCUUUCUCUUGCCUGUUUCUCAAUACAGCAGGAGUUUGCAGAUUUUCCUCCCAUUACCAACACCGCAUAAAGCAUAAUUUUUCUCCUACAAAACUGUGAAGCAUAAAGUGGGGUACCAAGGUCCUAAUUCCAUAAAGAUGAUAAAGGAUUUAUCAUUUAGCAAGUAUUAUGUACCUGAUGCUGUUCCUACUGAGAUAGUCGUUUAACCCUCAAAAGCAAUCCCAUCUUAAAUUUUACAGAAGAAAAUUGAAAUGCAGGAAGUAGGUAACUUUCCCAAGGUCACAAUGCUGCUCAGGGUGAGGCUGGAAUAAAUGUGGGUCUCAGUCUGGUUCCCCAUAAGCACCUUGUCCUGAUUAUAUGAAAGUAAAGGUAGACGUCAAACUUCGGGGGAAGUGACAGUGAAUGUUAGGGUUUGUUUUAAAGAGAAGGUGCCUUCCCUUCAAUCAACAUUGAUUAAGUUCCUUCUAGGUGUUGAACUCUGUGUGUGAAACAGUCCCAACCCUCAGGGAGUCAGGCAGAUGAGAAACAAAGGCUUGGGGAGUCCAGUCGUCUGAGGUCAAUGCUGGGACUGGGCUUGAACCUGGGAUGCAAGCCCAGGUCUGACUCCAAAGCAGAUGGCUGAGCAAAGAGUUUGAAUUUUAACUUAGAAAGCUAAGAGUCAUUCAACGAUGUGAAAUUAAGAUGUCACUAUCAAAAAAAAAAAGAUGUCACUCUCAGAAGUGUUUGUGAUGUGCUCUCUCUGGACAAUAAAGAAGUAUUAAAGGAUACAACAGGACCAAUGAAGAGACCAUGUUCAUCCAGGAGAGGAGAAAGAGUUCAAACCAAAGGGAGUAGCAGUGAGAGAAGAGGAAAAGAUUUGUGGUCAUUUGGGAGAUAAAAUAGGAAGUAUUUGGUGACUAAGUGUGGAGGAGAAGGAAAAAUAGAAGGCAAAAAAGAUUGCUGAGGUUCUGAUUUGAGGGACCAGGUACACGACAGUGCCAUCUCUUAGACAAAAAAUAUGUGGGAAGAGAUGUAGGGGAAGAAGAUUUUUUUUUCCUGUUAAGUAGCAUAUCAAAAUGGAGCUCUCCAAUUGAAAGAAGUCUUUUUGACAGCAGCCUCCUCAAAUCAAGCUGACAUCAGAAAGUGCUAGAAGAGGAGGAGGAGGAAGAGGAAGAGGAAGAAAGGGUGAGGAGGAGUUUUAUUCAACUUGACAGCAGGAAAAAGUUUGAAGAAAUCUUUUCAGCCAGAUAUGCCUCUUGGACAAGGUGAGUGAAGAAAUGGAUUUUAUCCCCACAGAAUCAUCCCCAAAUCAGAUAGAAGGGAUGAGGAAACUGAGGCACAGAGUUGAUGUGCCUGCUGCAGUCACUCGGCCGUAAGUAACCGAGACAACAAACUCAAAUAUGCAUAGGCGGGAACCCAGUUCAACCUCUUCCUUGGUAAAUGGCUGCUCAACACUAGCUACAUUUUCUGAGACUUUUGUGUGCUAGAUGCUGGAUCAAACGA